GACGAACGCUGGCGGCGCGCCUAACACAUGCAAGUCGAACGAGCGAGAGAGAGCUUGCUUUCUCGAGCGAGUGGCGAACGGGUGAGUAACGCGUGAGGAACCUGCCUCAAAGAGGGGGACGACAGUUGGAAACGACUGCUAAUACCGCAUAAGCCCACGGGUCGGCAUCGACCAGAGGGAAAAGGAGCAAUCCGCUUUGAGAUGGCCUCGCGACCGAUUAGCUAGUUGGUGAGGUAACGGCCCACAAAGGCGACGAUCGGUAGCCGGACGGAGAGGUUGAACGGCCACAUUGGGACUGAGACACGGCCCAGACUCCUACGGGAGGCAGCAGUGGGGAAUAUUGCACAAUGGGGGAAACCCUGAUGCAGCGACGCCGCGUGGAGGAAGAAGGUCUUCGGAUUGUAAACUCCUGUUGUUGGGGAAGAUAAUGACGGUACCCAACAAGGAAGUGACGGCUAACUACGUGCCAGCCGCCGCGGUAA
rnacentral:rRNA from 1 species